rnacentral:lncRNA from 1 species
CUCACUGGGACUGGUUUGACAGUGGGUGCAGCCCACGGAUGGGGAGCUGAAGCAGGGCAGGGCGUCACCUCACCCUGGAAGUGCAAGGGGUCAGGGGAUUUCCCUUUCCUAGCCAAGGGAAGCCGUGACAGACUACCUGGAAAAAUGGGACACUCCUGCCCAAAUACUGCACUUUUCCCAAGAUCUUAGCCACCGGCAGACAAGGAGAUUCUCUCCCAUGCCUGGCUCGGCGGGUUCCACACCCACGGAGCCUUGCUCACUGCUAGUGCAGCAGUCUGAGAUCGAACUGUGAGGCGGCAGCCUGGCUGGGGGAGGGGCGUCCGCUGUUGCUGAGGCUUGAGUAGGUAAACAAAGCAGCCGGGAAGUUCGAACUGGGCAGAGCCCACUGCAGCUCAGUAAGGCCUACUGCCUCUAGACUCCAUCUCUGUGGCCAGGGCAUAGCUGAACAAAAGGCAGCAGACAACUUUUGCAGACUUAAAGGUCCCUGUCUGACAGCUCUGAAGAGAGCAUUGGUUCUCUCAGCACGGUGUUUGAGCUCUGAGAACGGACAGACUGCCUCCUUAAGUGGGUCCCUCACCCCCAUGUAGCCUAACUAGGAGAUACCUCCCAGGAGGGGCCGACAGACACCUCAUAUAGGCACCUGCCUCUCUGGGACGAAGCUUCCAGAGGAAGGAUCAGGAAGUAGUAUUUGCUGUUCUGCAAUAUUUGCUGUUCUGCAGCCUCCGCUGGUGAUACCCAGGAAAACAGGGUCUGGGGUGGACCUCCAGCAAACUCCAACCGACCUGCAGCUGAGGGACCUGACAGUUAGAAGGAAAACUGAAAAACAGAAAGGAAUAGCAUCAACAUCACCAAAAAGGUCAUCUACACCAAAACCCCAUCUGUAGGUCACCAACAUCAAAGACCAAAGGUAGAUAAAACCACAAAGAUGGGGAGAAACCAGAGCAGAAAAGCUGAAAAUUCUAAAAAUCAGAGUGCCUCUUCUCCUCCAAAGGAUCGCAACUCCUCGCCAGCAAAGAGACAAAGCUGGAUGGAGAAUGACUUUGACAAGUCGACAGAAGUAGGCUUCAGAAGGUUGGUAAAAACAAACUUCUCCGAGCUAAAGGAGGACGUUUGAACCCAUCGCAAGGAAGUAAAACCCUUGAAAAAAGAUUAGACGAAUGGCUAACUGGAAUAAACAGUGUAGAGAAUACCUUAAAUGACCUGAUGGAGCUGAAAACCACGGCACAAGAACUUCGUGACACAUGCACAACCUUCAAUAGCCGAUUCGAUCAAGUGGAAGAAAGGGUAUCAGUGAUUGAAGAUCAAAUUAAUGAAAUAAAGCAAAUAAGACAAGGUUACAGGAAAAAGAGUAAAAAGACAUGAACAAAGCCUCCAAGACAAAUGGGACUAUGUGAAAAGACCAAAUCUAUGUUUGAUUGGUGUACCUGGAAGUGAUGGGGAGAAUGGAACCAACUUGGAAAACACUCUUCAGGAUAUUAUCCAGGAGAACUUCCCCAACCUAGCAAGGCAGGCCAACAUUCAAAUUCAGAAAAUACAGAGAACACCACAAAGAUACUCCUUGAGAAGAGCAACCCCAAGACACAUAAUUGUCAGAUUCACCAAGGUUGAAAUGAAGGAAAAAGUGUUAAGGGCAGCCAAAGAGAAAGGUUGAGUUACCCACAAAGGGACGCCCAUCAGACUAACAGUGGAUCUCUCUGCAGAAACCCUACAAGAAGAGAGUGGGGGCCAAUAUUCAACAUUCUUAAAGAAUUUUCAACCCAGAAUUUCAUAUCUAGCCAAACUAAGCUUCAUAAGUAAAGGAAAAAUAAAAUCCUUUACAGACAAGCAAAUGCUGAGAGAUUUUGUCACCACCAGGCCUGCCUUACGAGAGCUCCUAAAGGAAGCACUAAACAUGGAAAGGAACAACUGGUACCAGCCACUGCAAAAACAUGCCAAAUUGUAAAGACCAUCGAUGCUAUGAAGAAACUGCAUGAAUUAACGGGCAAAAUAACCAGCGAACAUCAUAAUGACAGGAUCAAAUUCACACAUAACGAUAUUAACCUUAAAUGUAAAUGGGCUAAAUGCCCCAAUUAAAAGACACAGACUGGCAAAUUGGAUAAAGAGUCAAGACCCAUCAAUGUGCUGUAUUCAGGAGACCCAGCUCAUGUGCAAAGACACACAUAGACUAAAAUAAAGGGAUGGAGGAAGAUAUACCAAGCAAAUGGAAAGCAAAAAAAAAAAAAAAAAAAAGCAGGGGUUGCAAUCCUAUUCUCUGAUAAAACAGACUUUAAACCAACAAAGAUCAAAAGAGACAAGGCCAUUACAUAAUGGUAAAGGGAUCAAUUCGCCAAGAAGAGCUAACUAUCCUAAAUAUAUAUGCACCCAAUACAGGAGCACCCAGAUUCAUAAAGCAAGUCCUUUGAGACCUACAAAGAAACUUAGACUUGCACACAAUAAUAAUGGGAGACUUUAACACCCCACUGUCAAUAUUAGACAGAUCAACGAGACAGAAGGUUAACAAGGAUAUCCAGGACUUGAACUCAGCCCUGCAACAAGCAGACCUAAUAGACAUCUACAUAACUCUCCACCCCAAAUCAAUAGAAUAUACAUUCUUCUCAGCAUCACAUCACACUUAUUCUAAAAUUGACCACAUAAUUGGAAGUAAAGCACUCCUCAGCAAAUGUAAAAGAACAGAAAUCACAACAAACUGUCUCUCAGACCACAGUGCAAUCAAAUUAGAACUCAGGAUUAAGAAACUCACUCAAAUCCACACAACUACAUGGAAACUGAACAACCUGCUCCUGAAUGACUACUGGAUACAUAACGAAAUGAAGGCAGAAAUAAAGAUGUUCUUUGAAACCAAUGAGAACAAAGACACAACGUACCAGAAUCUCUGGGACACGUUUAAAGCAGUGUGUAGAGGGAAAUUUAUAGCACUAAACACCCACAAGAGAAAGCAGGAAAGAUCUAAAAUUGACACCCUAAAAUCACAAUUAAAAGAACUAAAGAAGCAAGAGCAAACAAAUUCAAAAGCUAGCAGAAGGCAAGAAAUAACUGAGAUCAGAGCAGAGAUGAAAGAGAUAGAGACACGAAAACCCUUCAAAAAAAUCAAGGAGUCCAGGAGCUGGUUUUUUGAAAAGAUCAACAAAAUUGAUAGACUGCUAGCAAGACUAAUAAAGAAGAAGAGAGAAGAAUCAAAUAGAUGCAAUAAAAAAUGAUAAAGGGGAUAUCACCACCAAUCCCACAGAAAUACAAACUACCAUCAGAGAAUACUAUAAACACUUCUUUGCAAAUAAACUAGAAAAUCUAGAAGAAAUGGAUAAAUUCCUGGAAACAUACACCCACCCAAGACUAAACCAGGAAGAAGUUGAACCUCUGAAUAGACCAAUAACAGGCUCUGAAAUUGAGGCAAUAAUUAAUAGCCUACCAACCAAAAAAAGUCCAGGACCAGAUAGAUUCACAGCCAAAUUCUACCAGAGGUACAAAGAGGAGCUGGUACCAUUCCUUCUGAAACUAUUCCAAUCAAUAGAAAAAGAGGGAAUCCUCCCUAACUCAUUUCAUGAGGCCAACAUCAUCCUUAUGCCAAAGCCUGGCAGAGACACAACAAAAAAAGAGAAUUUUAGACCAAUAUCCCUGAUGAACAUCAAUGCGAAAAUCCUCAAUAAAAUACUGGCAAACCAAAUCCAGCAGCACAUCAAAAAGCUUAUCAACCAUGAUCAAGUUGGCUUCAUCCCUGGGAUGCAAGGCUGGUUCAACAUACACAAAUCAAUAAAUGUAAUUCAUCACAUAAAGAGAACCAAUGACAAAAACCACAUGAUUAUCUCAAUAGAUGCAGGAAAGGCCUUCAACAAAAUUCAACAGUGCUUCAUGCUAAAAACUCUCAAUAAACUAAAUAUUCAUGGAGUGUAUCUCAAAAUAAUAAGAGCUAUUUAUGACAACCCCCAGCCAAUAUCAUACUGAAUGGGGAAAAACUGGAAGCAUUCCCUUUGAAAACUGGCAUAAGACAAGGAUUCCACUCCUACGCAACAUAGUGUUGGAAGUUCUGGCCAGGGCAAUCAGGCAAGAGAAGGAAAUAAAGGGUAUUCAAUCAGGAAAUGAGGAAGUCAAAUUGUCCCUGUUUGCAGAUGACAUGAUUGUAUAUUUAGAAAACCCCAUCGUCUCAGCCCAAAAUCUCCUUAAGCUGAUAAGCAACUUCAGCAAAGUCUCAGGAUACAAAAUCAGUGUGCAAAAAUCACAAGCAUUCCUAUACGCCAUUAACAGACAGAGAGCCAAAUUAUGAGUGAACUCCCAGUCACAAUUGCUACAAAGAGAAUAAAAUACCUAGGAAUCCAACUUACAAGGGAUGUGAAGGACCUCUUCAAGGAGAACUACAAACCACUGCUCAACGAAAUAAAAGAGGACACAAACAAAUGGAAGAAUAUUUCAUUCUCAUGGAUAGGAAGAAUCAAUAUCAUGAAAAUGGCCACACUGCCCAAAGUAUUUAUAGAUUCAAUGCCAUCCCCAUCAAGCUACCAAUGACUUUCUUCACAGAAUUGGAAAAAACUACUUUAAAGAUCAUAUGGAACCAAAAAAGAACCCCCCAUUACCAAGACAAUCCUAAGCAAAAAGAACAAAGCUGGAGGCAUCAAGCUACCUGACUUCAAACUAUACUACAAGGCUACAGUAACCAAAACAGCACGGUACUGGUACCAAAACAGAUACAUAGACCAAUGGAACAGAAAAGAGGCCUCAGAAAUAACACCACACAUCUACAACCAUCUGAUCUUUGACAAACCUGACAAAUACAAGCAAUGGGGAAAGGAUUCCCUAUUUAAUAAAUGGUGCUGGGAAAACUGGCUAGCCAUAUGUAGAAAGCUGAGACUGGAUCCCUUCCUUACACCUUAUAAAAAAUUAAUUCAAGAUGGAUUAAAGACUUAAAUGUUAGACCUAAAACCAUAAAAACCCUAGAAGAAAACCUAGGCAAUACCAUUCAGGACGUAGGCAUGGGCAAGGACUUCAUGACUAAAACACCAAAAGCAAUGGCAACAAAAGCCAAAAUUGACAAAAGGGAUCUAAUUAAACGAAAGAGCUUCUGCAUGGCAAAAGAAACUACCAUCAGAGUGAACAGGCAACCUACAGAAUGGGAGAAAAUUUUUGCAAUCUGCCCAUCUGACAAAGGGCUAAUAUCCAGAAUCUACAAAUAACUCAAACAAAUUUACAAGAAAAAAAAUCCCAUCAAAAAGUGGGUGAAGGAUAUGAACAGACACUUCUCAAAAGAAGACAUCCAUGCAGCCAACAGACACAUGAAAAAAUGCUCAUCAUCACUGGUCAUCAGAGAAAUGCAAAUCAAAACCACAAUGAGAUACCAUCUUGUGCCAGUUAAAAUGGCAAUCAUUAAAAAGUCAGGAAACAACAGAUGCUGGAGAGGAUGUGGAGAAAUAGGAAUGCUUUUACACUGUUGGUGGGAGUGUAAAUUAGUUCAACCAUUGUGGAAGGCAGUGUGGCAAUUCCUCAAGGAUCUAGAACUAGAAUUAUCAUUUGACCCAGCAAUCCCAUUACUGGGUAUAUACCCAAAGGAUCAUAAAUCAUGCUACUAUAAAGACAUAUGCACACGUAUGUUUAUUGUGGCACUAUUCACAAUAGCAAAGACUUGGAACCAACCCAAAUGUCCAUCAAUGAUAGACUGGAAUAAGAAAAUGUGGCACAUAUACACCAUGGAAUACUAUGCAGCCAUAAAAAAGGAUGAGUUCAUGUCCUUUGCAGGGACAUGGACGAAGGUGGAAACCAUCAUUCUCAGUAAGUUAUCACAAGGACAGAAAACCAAAUAGUGCAUGUUUUCACUCAUAGGUGGGAAUUGUACAAUGAGAUCAC